rnacentral:rRNA from 1 species
CGCCUGUUUAACAAAAACAUUUCUUUUUGGUUAUUUAAAAAGUACCUUCUGCCCUAUGAUGAUUUAUUAAAUGGCUGCAGUAUUUUGACUGUGCAAAGGUAGCAUAGUAAUUAGCUUCUUAAUUAGAAGCUUGUAUGAAUGGAUGUAUGAGAGGGAUAUUUUAUUAGUUUUAUUAUUAAAAAUUUAAUUUUGAGUUAAAAUGCUCAGUAUUCUCUUGGGACGUAAGACCCUGUAGAACCUUACAUAAAAAUGUAUUAUUAAUUUUUAUUAUAAAAUUAUAUUAAUAUGUUUUUUUGUUUUGCUGGGGUGGUUAAUAAAUUCAAACUUUAUUUAUAUAAAUCAUUAUUUUUGUUUAUUUUGAUCUUUUGUUAGGAAUUAUAAGAAUAAGUUACCUUAGGGAUAACAGCGUAAUUUUAAUGGAAAGUUCACAUUUAUAUUAAUCUUUGCGACCUCGAUGUUGAAUUAAGACAAUCUUAAGAAGCAGUUUUCUUAAUAUUAGGUCUGUUCGACCUUUAAAUUCUUACCUUGAUCUGAGUUCAGACCGG